GAAGUCGCUCAGUCGUGUCCGACUCUCAGCGACCCCAUGGACUGUAGCCCACCAGGCUCCACCACCCAUGGGAUUUUCCAGGCAAGAGUACUGGAGUGGGGUGCCAUUGCCUUCUCCUUCAGGCAUAUAAGAGACUUAAUACUUCAUAGAUUAUAGUCCACUUAAAGUUACUAGGAAAUAUUUGCUAUAUUCCCUGUGCUGUACAUUACAUCCCUGUGUCUUAUUUAUUUUAUACCAGUAGUUUGUACCUCGAAUCCUCUUCCUCUAUGUUGCCCCUCCCCCAUCUCUUUCCCCACUUGCAACCACUAACUUGUUCUCUGGGAGCCUGUUUCUGUUUUGUUAUAUUCAUUUGUUUUAUUUUUUAGAAGAGUAUCACUUCUCAUUUGGACAGUAAAAGAGGUAUCCAUGAGCAUGGAAAUAGCUAAACUGGGCCAUUUUUUGGAAAGUUUUUUAUUGUCGCUGCUGGGUUUUUGUUGGUUGGUUUUGUAAUUUCUUCCUUUUGUUACCUUAUUUUUUGAACAAUAAUUCUGGCCCAUAAACCAAACACUCUUCAAAAACAGGCAAAAAGACAAAAACAUUCCCUACUCGCUUCCCUUAUCCUCCUGCUGAAGUUCUCUAUUCCUCUGUAUUCUACCCUCUGCCCACAGGAGGGAAGCAUUUGUCUAGAAGUCCAGGGGAAAAGUGUCAGCGCAAAGAAAAUCUGAAGUUGAUUUUAUGGGGCAUUUUAACCCUUGGUUGUGUGUUUCUCUUCCACAUGUCCAUAUGAAAGCAAUAAUCUAAAUAUAAAUACUGUCUUGUCUGCUCUUCUGACGUGAUUUUUUACUAUCUUGGCUUUUUUUCAGUCUUUACUUCAGAGAAGCUGAGUUGUCUUUCCCUGAGGCAGCAAAUUCAUUUGCAAACACAAAGGCUCAGGGAAAUUUGCGCCCUAUUACACAGUCUCCAAAUAUUCCAGACUUGCUAAGACUCCAGAUGAAAAGGGUCAAGGCAGUUCAUCAGAUUCCCUUCCUAAUUCUCAACUUCCAAAGCAAGUUCUUCCCAGAGCACAGACAAAGGAAGGCUAUAUGGACUCCAGAGUGGUCUUUGGAAUCCCAGUUCUAUUCCCCAUUCUCUCUAUGACCUUCAUCAAGUUCAUGAAUGUCUCUGAGGCUCAAUUUUCCCAUCCAUAACAUGGAAAUGAUACAACCUGCCUGGCAGGGUUAUGACUAUCUGGCUGUCUAGUCUACAGCCCUGAGGACAAAAGCAUCAUCAGUGACAAGGAGAAGUCCUGCUGGGGAGUAAGAUUUUACCGAGACCCAGUUGAGGAGACAUAUGUGGGGAACUUGGAUCAUCUGAGACAAGCUGUCAAUGCCAGGCAAGCAGCGAUAUGCGGAGUUGGUGAUGGACUCCACUGGCGUGCUGCGAUUCAUGGGGUCGCAAAAAGUCGGACACGACUGAGCAACUGAACUGAACUGACCCAUUUUUAUAGGAUUCAAAGAGCAUGCAGGACCUUAGUUCCCUGACCAGGGAUCGAACUCACACUCCUCUCAGUGGAAGCAUGUUAUCUUAGCUGCUGAACUGCCAGGUAAAUUAUUUUCCCUUCUGUCAAAUCAUUCAGUAAAACCUGACUGACAUCUUCACAUAUGUUCAACAUUGAAAUAAACAUUUGGAUUCCUUCAGAAAGUGAAAGGACAAGCAUCAUCUCAUGGACCUUAUGUUGCAGUGCAGAGAUAUUCAUUAAUGAAUUUUUACCCAAAUAAUCGUUUAAAUUACAUUUGUGACAAAUGCUGUGAAUGAAACUUUGAGGGUGAGAGUGUGAUAUUAACAUAUCAAGGGACAGUA